GGUUCGGAUUAUGGCCUGAUUGGAACGCUGGCGGGAUGCUUUACACAUGCAAGUCGAACGGCAGCAUGGACUUUAUCUGGUGGCGAGUGGCGAACGGUGAGUAAUGUAUCGGAACGUGCCUAGUAGCGGGGGAUAACUACGCGAAAGCGUAGCCAUCGCAUACGUUCUUCGGGGGAAAGCGGGGGACCUUCUGCCUCGCACUAUUAGAGCGGCCGAUAUCGGAUUAGCUAGUUGCGGGGCAACGGCUCACCAAGGCGACGGAUCCGUAGCUGGUUGGUUUGAGGACGACCAGCCACACUGGGACUGAGACACGGCCUGCAUUCCUACGGAGGCAGCAGUGGGGAAUUUUGACAAUGGGGAAACCCUGAUCCAGCCAUCCCGCGUGUGCGAUGGCGAAGGCUCUCUUACAAAGCACUUUUGGCAGGAAAGAAACGGCACGGAUAAUACCCCGUGCACCGACGGUACCUGCAGAAUAAGCACCGUAUUAACCAUGUGCCAGCAGCCGCGGUAAUACGUAGGUGCAAGCGUUAAUCGAAUUACUGGCGUAAAGCGUGCGCAGGCGGUUCGGAAAGAAAGAUGGAACCCCAGGUUUAACUUUGAACUGCAUUUUUGAACCAAUGAGCUACAGAGGCAUUGUAGGGAGUGGAAUUCCGCGUGUAGCAGUGAAAUGUGGGAUAUGUGUGAGAACACCGAUGGCGAAGGCAGCUUCCUGAUAACACGUUUAUACGAAAGCGGGGGAUAAACAGAUUAGACACCCUGGUAGUCCACGCCCUAAACGUGAUGUCAACUAGCUGUUGGGGCCUUCGGCCUUGGUAGCGCAGCUUAACGCAGAAGUUGACCGCCUGGGAGUACGGGUCGGGAUUAAACUCAAAGGAAUUGAUUUGGACCCGCGCAAGCGGUGGAUGAUGUGGAUGACCUGAUGCAACGCGAAAAACCUUUACCUACCCUUGGAUAUGUCUGGAAUCCCGAAGAGAUUUGGGAGGCUCGUAAGAGAACCGAACACAGGUGCUGCAUGGCUGUCGUCAGCUCGUGUCGUGAGAUGUUGGGUUGGAGUCCCGCAAUUGAAGCAAACCCCUUGUCAUUAGUUGCUACGAAAGGGCACUCUAAUGAGACUGCCGGUGACAAACCGGAGGAAGGUGGGGAUGACGUCAAGUCCUCAUGGCCCUUAUGGGUAGGGUCACACGUCAUACAAUGGUCGGGACAGAGGGUCGCCAACCCGCGAGGGGGAGCCAAUCCCAGAAACCCGAUCGUAGUCCGGAUCGUGUCUGCAACUCGGACUGCGUGAAGUCGGAAUCGCUAGUAAUCGCGGAUCAGCAUGUCGCGGUGAAUACGUUCCCGGGUUCCCAGGCCACCGCCCGUCACACCAUGGGAGUGGGUUUUACCAGAAGUAUUAGGCCUAACCGGCGAGUGGCGCGAUUACCACGGUAGGAUUCAUGACUGGGGGUGAAGUCGUAACAAGGUAG
rnacentral:rRNA from 1 species